rnacentral:rRNA from 1 species
CCCUUAGAUGUUCUGGGCCGCACGCGCGCUACACUGACGGAGGCAGCGAGCGUGUCCUUCGCCGGCAGGUGCGGGCAAUCUUGCGAGUCUCCGUCGUGCUGGGGAUAGAUGGUUGCAAUUGUCGAUCUUGAACGAGGAAUUCCUAGUAAGCGCGAGUCAUCAGACCGCGCUGAUUACGUCCCUGCCCUUUGUACACACCGCCCGUCGCUACUACAGAGUGCCCGUGUCCAAGAAACGGUCGGACCUGUGCGGCCUCUCCGGGCGACCGGAGGGCCGUUACGGGGAAGACCCUUUAUUUGACGCGGGUCGAUGAAGUAAAAGUCGUAACA